GGUUGUUUGGCCGAGCGGUCUAAGGCGCCUGAUUCAAGGAAAAAAGUUCUUGACUGCAGAAAACUGCAGGAACACUCAGGUAUCGUAAGAUGCAAGAGUUCGAAUCUCUUAGCAACCA
rnacentral:tRNA from 1 species